rnacentral:tmRNA from 1 species
GGGGAUGUCCUGGUUUCGACAGGAUAACUUUGUUUUAAGAUAGCAGUGGUUUGGUAGACCAUAAUACUUUAGGCGAAAUAAACGCAGAAUCAAAAAAAUCAGAAUUUGAAAUGCCAGAAUUCAUGCCAAAUUAUAUGGCAUCUGGAGCACCAGCUUACGCUUUUGCUUAAUUAAUUAAUUUAAUUAAUAGCAUUCAAUCACUAGUUAUAUUUUAAGCUUUAUAACUUAGUCGAAUUACCCAAGUUUAAUAGAGAACAAUAUCGUGGUUAGUUGUUCUCGAAAUUCGAAUCACGAAUGAUUUUUAACUUUUGGUAAGUUUUAGUUAGACUUCAUAAAUUAUAAAAUUUACUAAACUGUAGAAGUCUUUUAGCAAACUAUUUUGGACGCGAGUUCGAUUCUCGCCAUCUCCACCA